AGGGCUACUUAUUCGAUGAGAUUCUCACUUUCUGUUCAUGAUACCUGGAUAAUGUUGAGAGCAGGAUCAAUCGACCAGUACGUGUUGAUGAUCGACCGAGCGAAGAUGUGACUGUUACUGUUACAAGCAUGUUCCCAUCGAUUGGCAAAGCGGUAGGGGCUUCAGCAUGUAUAAAUCUUUCACCAACCGAGAGACUCCAAGCACAUCGUCACGUAUUGGUCAAUUGCACAGCGGUGGAGAAUUUCUUAGAGGAUUUUAGGGCUAGCAGAAAAAGACAGCUACGAAGUAUUGGAAAAAGAAAUGAAGCCUACAUUGACAAGGUUGUCCACAGAGAAUUCGCCGAGUGGUUCAAGCAUGAGUAUAUUUCAUUAGUAGAUACCAUUGGGAAGUACUAUGCACCCGAGAGAAAUGCAGUGGCUCGCAUGUGGCCCCAAUAUUCAGGCAAGGCGCUUUACGACGUACAAUGUCAAUGGAUUCAAGUUUAGAACCCUAUCAAGAGAGGAUGGAAUGAGAACCCAGAAUAGCGGGGUUUGUGUCACUUCUGACACUAGAAGUUAUGCAAGCGCUCGUGACAGUAACAUGGCUGUUGGUGGCGUUGUGUAUUACGGGAGAUUGGUAGACAUCAUUGAGCUGAAUUACAGUGGUCAGUUUUCCGUGGCCUUGUUUAGAUGCAUAUGGGUAGACACCACGUCUGGUAGAGGCAUAAAACAAGACAUUUUUGGCCACACCUGUGUCAACUUUAGUAAUCCGAUACACACUGGUGAUCGUGAAGAUGACGAGCCAUACAUUCUCGCAUCCGAGGCUCGCCUAGUAUACUAUGUAGACGAUGAAGUCGAUAAGGACUGGAGUGUAGUAGUCCAUGUGAAGCUGAGAGAUUUGUUUGACAUGGGUGAAUACAAUGAACACUGUGAGGUCGAACUUUCCCUCCAACCAAGUCUGACUGAUUUGUCUAAGCAUGAUGUUGACGGUAUUUCAUUGACCAAAGAUGGCGACUUAGAAGAACCCACGCCUGAUGCCAUCGAUACCGGAGAAGAGGCUGCUGAUUCAUAGAUAAAUUUGGCUAGCAAUAUAUGACGUGCACACCAAUAUAAAGAGAGUUAUUUAAUUGUUUUUUAUUUAAUUUCGCUUUUUUAUGGGUUUGUACCUUGAGAAUUGAUAUCGUUGACUUGUAUACUUAGAGUUCUCUUGCUCAACUUUUAUGUGUUGGGACCUAACAGGGAAAUUGGAGGAGAACAAGCUCUUUAUCUGUGCAAGCAGCUUCCACUUCAUCCACUCGAUGCAAGAGGCAUCUCCGUUCUCUUCCCUUGAGCACGCAACAUCAUUCGCUCGGGAGUUAUGGUUCAACAAUUCGCCUAUUAGAUCAUGGUUGGAUGCAUUCUCCGCACACAGGCACAUAGGAGUUGCUAUUGGUAGAGCGCCUACUGAACUAAUAUCGGAUUUGUGUCAACUCGGAGCAAAGUACCGGAAGAAAUUUGGCUUCGAAUUCUUUACAACUACAGACAUGAGACAUUCGCAUAGGAUACUGGCGGAGGUGAAGGCCCGAUGCGAGAACAAUAUCCUGGUUGAACUGGAUAUUGCGUCCAAAUAGGAAUUCAUUUUCAUAGAAAGAAAACUUACUAAACUCUGGAAACGACUAUCUGAAGAGAAGCUUCAAGAGGACACAGACGACAUAGGGAAGAUAGUUCAAGACUCACUGGAAGAAGAACUACUGCCCAGCAAGAGUUCCGAUGAGGUUUCUUCGACCGGUCAAAAGGCUUGUUUGAGAGAUUAUGACCUCAAUAAGACACCAGACGAGAACGAGAGACUUUGAUUCAUCUCUAGUUUGUAUUCUUGUGAUGGUGUCUUGUCGAAUAAUGUUUCUCAGUGUCUAUUUCCCUAAGGGCCUUUUAUGUCUUGGAUGUUAUUUCUACCACUAUCUUGAAGAUUCCCACCUCUUUCUUUUUUUUCAAGAAUGUGCACAUGUCAUUUAGAUAAAGACACGGAUUUUGGUGAUACCAUGUUUUAAAUAUUUAUUUAAAGAUUAUUAUACA